CCGCGCUGCACCGACAUGCCCGCGCACAGCCCCCGGAGGGGCUCGCUGCUCUCCCCGCCGUAGCCACGCUUUGUGCUGCCCCUGCUCAAAGUUGCACCUUCACUAUGCGGCAUUUUCUGCCACAUUCAUUCGAAGGACAGCUCCGUGUCUGAAGUGCUGCCGGACUGAGCUGGGAGCACCGCGAAGCAAACAACUGCCACAUCCUCACCCUGCUUCUUGUCGCGGCACUGCAGUGGAGAUGGAAGUUUUUCAGCAAUGUAACUAGCGUCCCUGCUGGUUCUCCAUUCUGCAUCCGUGCAGCCACGUUCUAUUGAUGGCCUGUUGUGAUUUCAAUGGAACAUCAUGGGAUGUACCUGGCACGUCGGGCAGCACUGGAUGGAGGUGCCUUUAGCCCAAUGUACCUGGCAUGUACUGUUAAACUCACUGUUCAGGUGCUUGGUGUCUAGCCUUCUCAUCCAGCCACAAAUCCUCUACGUGAAAUGA
rnacentral:lncRNA from 1 species